UGCGCAGGCGGAUUGGUAGGUGUGCUGUGAAAUCCCUCGGCUCAACCGAGGAAUUGCGGUGCAAACCCCCAAUCUUGAGGCAGGCAGAGGUCGCCGGAACGUUCGGCGGAGCGGUGAAAUGCGUAGAUAUCGAACGGAACGCCGAAGGGUAGCCAGGCGACUGGGCCUGACCUGACGCUCAGGCACGAAAGCGUGGGGAUCAAACA
rnacentral:rRNA from 1 species